rnacentral:rRNA from 1 species
GAUCCUGGCUUAGGAUGAACGCUAGCGACAGGCUUAACACAUGCAAGUCGAGGGGCAGCAUAAAAGUAGCAAUACGUUGGUGGCGACCGGCGCACGGGUGAGUAACGCGUAUGCAACCUACCUAUCAGAGGGGAAUAACCCGGCGAAAGUCGGACUAAUACCGCAUAAAACAGGGGCACCGCAUGGUGAUAUUUGUUAAAGAAAUUCGCUGAUAGAUGGGCAUGCGUUCCAUUAGGUAGUUGGUGAGGUAACGGCUCACCAAGCCGACGAUGGAUAGGGGAACUGAGAGGUUGGUCCCCCACACUGGUACUGAGACACGGACCAGACUCCUACGGGAGGCAGCAGUGAGGAAUAUUGGUCAAUGGGCGGGAGCCUGAACCAGCCAAGUCGCGUGAAGGAAGAAGGAUCUAUGGUUCGUAAACUUCUUUUGCAGGGGAAUAAAGUGCAGGACGUGUCCUGUUUUGUAUGUACCCUGAGAAUAAGGAUCGGCUAACUCCGUGCCAGCAGCGGC